GAGGGCACACACUUAGUGUGUUGUGAAAUCUGUAAUGAAUGUAUUGUUUUUAAAAUGGUAUAACUGCCUUAAUUUUGCUGGACCCCCAGAUAGUCGUUUCUGCCUUGGCAGAACUAAUGGGGAUCCUUAAUAAAUACACGUACACAUGGAUGUUGCAUUGUAAAUAUGUGGUGGUGGAGUGGUGGCCUGAGGGAACACACUGAAUGUGUUGCGUAAGGUGUUAUGAAAUGUAACGUAAUGUCUGUAUUUUAAACUGGAUGUAACUGUCUUAUGUUGCUGGACCCCAGGAGCUGUUGAUAAGGUUCCAUAAUAAAUACAAAUACAAUCUGCUGAUGUAAGAAUCAUUUUAUCAAAUGAAUUUGACAUUGGCUGUGUUUGUGUGCAUGCUAAUUUAUCUUAGUUUUAAGGACAAUACCAGGGACCCUUCCUUCCCAGACAGACGGCAGCAGGUGCAAACUGCCAGCCGUCAUAUACAGCAUGGUGUUCAUGUCGUGGGUGUAGGCAUAGGCGUGAACCUAUACAAUGUGGAGAGCUGUGAAAGCCUGUCUGCAGAUGAAGAGAUCCCAAGUGAAUGUCCCAAGAGCAUGUCUGCAGAUGAAGAGAUCCCAAGUGAAUGUCCCAAGAGACUUGUCUGCAGAUGAAGAGGUCCCAGUGAAUGUCCCAAGAGCCUGUCUGCAGAUGAAGAGGUCCCAGUGAAUGUCCCAAGGGCCUGUCUGCAGAUGAAGAGGUCCCAGUGAAUGUCCCAAGAGCCUGCUGCCACAUCCUUGUAAACCAUGUGUUUUAUGUGUACUUAUGUUAACUGUAUUGUUGCAUACAACAUGUGCUAAAAGUCACACACAAUGUAGGCUACAAACAUAUUACAAUCCUUCUCCUGGAGGUAUGCUGGGUGUGCAGGCUUCUGUUCCAGCCCUGAUUCAACUUAUAAAACCUAAUGAGUUGAUUAAUAAUGUGUAUUAUUGCUGGGAUGGAACAAAAGCCUGCUCACCCAGUAGAUCAGGGAGUGGAGUGAGGUUGGCCACCUGUGGUAUGUAUUUUUUUGUUCACCUGAAAUCGUGCUUCAGUAAUAAUAGCCUACUUACUAAAAUGUCUAACAUUUACAAACAAUUUCGAUUAUUUGUACAUUUGGAAAUUAUAUUUUGAUUCAUUGAAGUGAAGUGUUUGAACUGGUUUUAAUUGUUAACUUAAAAACAUUAUUCAAGAUGAACUAGUCAAUGUCCAUUCAUCACAGAUCACAAUUCUGCAAUAAAAAGGUGUGAAGGGGA